rnacentral:rRNA from 1 species
GAUGAACGCUGGCGGCGUGCCUAAUACAUGCAAGUCGAGCGAACAGACGAGGAGCUUGCUCCUCUGACGUUAGCCGCGGACGGGUGAGUAACACGUGUAUAACCUACCUAUAAGACUGGGAUAACUUCGGGAAACCGGCGCUAAUACCGGAUAAUCUAUUGAACCGCAUGGUUCAAUAGUGAAAGACGGUUUUGCUGUCACUUAUAGAUGGAUCGGCGCCGCAUUAGCUGGUUGGUAAGGUAACGGCUUAUCAAGGCAACGAUGCGUAGCCGACCUGAGAGGGUGAUAGGCCACACGGGAGCUGAGACACGGUCCAGACGCCUACGGGAGGCAGCAGUAGGGAAUCUUCCGCAAUGGGCGAAAGCCUGACGGAGCAACGCCGCGUGAGUGAUGAAGGUCUUCGGAUCGUAAAACUCGGUUAUGAGGGAAGAACAAAUGUGUAAGGAACUAUGCACGUCUUGACGGUACCUAGUCAGAAAGCCACGGCUAACUACGUG